rnacentral:lncRNA from 1 species
CCAACAAUUCAAGAGAUGGAGUUCUAUGAAUCGAUUGAAUUAGGUAUGUCUUUGUAAUUUUAUAUGUGCUUUAUUAAUGUAUUAUAUAAUAUGUAUGUUGGACUAAUGUUUUAAUGUGUUUAUAUUUUUUUAUGUAGAUAUUAUGAGUUCAUCCACACCUAGCACCAUAGCUCCAACUACUUUUCAAUGUUAGGAGGAAUUUAAUUUGGGUUGUAAUGUAUAUUUGGUUGAAUUUGGGUUGUAUUUGGCUAGUAAUUUAUUUUGGAACUUAUUUUGUUGAAGUUUGAUUUAAUUUGGGUUGUAAUUUAUAUGUUGAAGUUGGAU